ACUUGGCAAAUCAUACCACACAGUGUACUGAAGCAUAACUACUUUUAUUUCCUAAAUCAGCUAUAUAUGAAUUUAGCUUGUUUAUAGUGUACAGUUUCAUAUUCAUAAACCUUGUAUUAUAAAAGGUUUGGUUAGAUUAUGAGGUAAGUGAGGUUAGGUAAUUUGAGUUAAUAUCUGUUGAACUCUUACUUACCCAACCUAAUCUAACCUUACCUUAUCAAGCCUAAUCUAACCAACUCUUACAUAACCUAAUUAAACCUUUGUAGCCUAGAAUAAUCCUUUACAGGUAAACAGCUUUUCAAGAGAGUUGGGUAUUUAUCUGUGGAAAUAAUAAUAUUUUUUGUACAUGAAGCUGUGACUGAAACAGUGCAAUGCUUCCCAGCAGCUGUGUAUUUCUGCCACUUCAUAGAGAAAUAACUAGAACUUUGUUAACAUAAUAAAAUUCCGUACAGGUGAAAAAUGUUAGCAUCCAGAAAAAAUGAUGCAAACCUCUACUAAAUAUUUACUGAAGGCUUAACUUAGGGAAAUAAACCCUGGAACUAAGGGGCAGAAACCCUAAAACUCUCUGAUCUUCUUAACCCCUUGACUGCAGAUUUCCUACAGUCAGACAUCACCAAGCUACAGGAAAGGAACAAAAAGUGGCUGCUACAAUUCAAUGAAGAAAAAUGUAAAGUCCUGCACCUUGGGAGGGGAUAUCCAGCACACCAAUACCACAUGGGAAACACUCCACUAUCCACCACAGAGGCAGAGAAGGACAUGGGAGUAUAUGUUACCGGGCUACCAGUAAAAGCCAGAUCCGUGCCAAUCGCAGCGGACGGGUUAUGAGGAAGAGAAAGUGAAGGAGUUACAAAUGCAUAGUUCUUUGAUACAUGAAACUCAUACACUAGGAGGCAAAAAAGGGAUCCAUCCAUCUCAUCUCAUUAACAUAACUCUAGUCCUGAUAUUUCAACAGGUAUUUGUCAUUUGUCACAGACCACUUUGCCUACAGGCACUACACAGACAGGUGUAUUUACCGACAUACAAGGGGUAUAGGUUAUCUCAUUUAUCACAUUUACUGACAUACAAGGGUGUAGGGUACCUCAUUUAUCACAUUUACUGACAUACAAGGGGUGUAGGUUAUCUCAUUUAUCACAUUUACUGACAUACAAGGGGUGUAGGUUAUCUCAUUUAUCACAUUUACUGACAUACAAGGGGUGCAAGUUACCUCAUUGAUCACAUUUACUGACAUACAAGGGGUGUAGGUUACCUCAUUUAUCACAUUUACUGACAUACAAGGGGUGUAGGUUACCUCAUUGAUCACAUUUACUGACAUACAAGGGGGGCAGGCUAUCUCAUAAACACAUGGAACAGCUUGCGGGAAGAGGUGGUGGAGGCAUACAGUGCCCAACAAAUGAUGGAAAGGCAAAGGAAUGUAGAUAUGGAGACGGGACUAUUAGAGCUUAGCCCGGGCCCGGUAGACUACAAACAGGUCAAUACAAAUAGGUAAAUACACACACACACACACACACAAAACCUGCCUUGAUUGCCCAUCUGGGCUAUAUUUUCUGUCCUUCAUACUAGUCAAUGCUGCCCUGCACUGCCUACUCUCUCCCACAUACAGCAGCACAACACAACACCUCAGAGGUGAAUCUUCACAUGUCUGGUAAUCUCAGCUCUGGUCAUGAAACGCUUUCCACAACCAUCACAUUUGAACCCUUUGUGACCAGUGUGUCUUAUGCUAUGUCUCUUCAGGUAUGACCUUAAACAGAAUUUUUUCCCACAAACUUCACAUUCAUGAUUUCUCUCACCAGUGUGUGUAAGGAUGUGUGUGUUGAGGUGACUCUUCCGAUUAAAUUUUUUCCCACAAACUUCACAUUCAUGAUUUCUUUCACCAGUGUGUGUAAGGAUGUGUGUGUUGAGGUGACUCUUCCGAUUAAAUCUUUUCCCACAAACUUCACAUUCAUGAUUUCUCUCACCAGUGUGUGUAAGGAUGUGUGUGUUGAGGUGACUCUUCUGAUUAAAUCUUUUCCCACAAACUUCACAUUCAUGAUUUCUCUCACCAGUGUGUGUAAGGAUGUGUGUGUUGAGGUGACUCUUCCGAUUAAAUCUUUUCCCACAAACUUCACAUUCAUGAUUUCUCUCACCAGUGUGUGUAAGGAUGUGUGUGUUGAGGGUACUCUUCUGAUUAAAUCUUUUCCCACAAACUUCACAUUCAUAAUUU